GAUGAAGAACGUAGCGAAAUGCGAUAAGUAAUGUGAAUUGCAGAAUUCAGUGAAUCAUCGAAUCUUUGAACGCACAUUGCGCCCACUAGUAUUCUGGUGGGCAUGCUUGUUCGAGCGUCAUUUCAACCCUCAAGCCUGGCUUGGUGUUGGGGCUCUGCGCAUGCAGUCCCUUAAAUCCAGUGGCGGACACGCUAGGUCUCCGAGCGCAGUAGUUUCUUCUCGCUUCGGGCGUCCGGCGUGGGCUUGCCUCGCACCCACUAUUUACAAGGUUGACCUCGGAUCAGGUAGGAAUACCCGCUGAACUUAAGCAUAUCAAUAAGCGGAGGA
rnacentral:misc_RNA from 1 species